rnacentral:rRNA from 1 species
UACAGAGGUCCCAAGUGUUGUUCGGAUUCACUGGGCGUAAAGGGUGCGUAGGCGGUCGGGUAAGUCUGACGUGAAAUCUCCGGGCCUAACCCGGAAACUGCGUUGGAAACUGCCUGGCUAGAGGAAUGGAGGGGAGACUGGAAUACUUGGUGUAGCAGUGAAAUGCGUAGAUAUCAAGUGGAACACCAGUGGCGAAGGCGAGUCUCUGGACAUUUCCUGACGCUGAGGCACGAAAGCCAGGGGAGCAAACGGG